rnacentral:lncRNA from 1 species
GCGGUGGGGGAGGAAGGAAGGAGGCGGGCCGAUGUCGGGCACGAGAAGGAGAGUGAGUGAGAGAGACAAAGGAGAUAGGGUUAGGUGAAUCUUUGUCGGCGGCCCGAUAAAAAGCCGCCGCCGGCCCUUACUAAAGCCGCCGGCAAAUCCCAUUUUUCCUUUUUUUUUCUUUCCUUACUUAUUUACUUCACAAACUUGGGAUUUCUUGCCACUUUAAUUUGUCUUACUGUUUUACUAGAAAAUGUGUGCAAGGAAAACCAAAAAUUUAACUCAAGUCAUCACUAAUUUCAGCUUCGUCGAUUCUAAAUCAGACGUCACCCUCUCCUGCGGGCCUCGUGGCGUCUGCGGGCUAGCUUUUCACCAAAACUUGGGUUUUCAUGUCAUUUACUCUAUCAUAGUGUUGUAUUAGGACAUGUUAACAUGAGAAAGCAAACAUCUACCCAAAUCCUCAAAAGAUUCUGCUCCGUCCGUCCGAAUUGCGACUUUUCCCCAUCUAAUUCUAGAAUGUUCGUGCGUGUUAGUCUAGUUUGUGAAGGAUGUGCAACCUCAUAUACUUGGAUUGUGUUUUCCUCUUAACACCAUGUUUAUGUACCCAUUUGAUGACAUCAUCCAAGAUUUCAAGUUCUCUGGACCAUUCGUCGUGUGAUUUCAGGCAUCGCCACCUCCUGCGGGCCUCGUGGCGUUUGCGGGCUAGCUUUUC